rnacentral:rRNA from 1 species
UUGAACGCUGGCGGCAUGCUUUACACAUGCAAGUCGAACGGCAGCGGGGGCUUCGGCCUGCCGGCGAGUGGCGCACGGGUGAGUAAUGCCUCGGAACGUACCCAGUCGUGGGGGAUAACUACGCGAAAGCGUGGCUAAUACCGCAUACGCCCUGAGGGGGAAAGCGGGGGACCUUCGGGCCUCGCGCGAUUGGACCGGCUGCUGUCGGCUUAGCUGGUUGGUGGGGUAAAGGCCUACCAAGGCGACGAUCCGUAGCUGGUCUGAGAGGAGGAUCAGCCACACUGGGACGGAGACACGGCCCAGACUCCUACGGGAGGCAGCAGUGGGGAAUUUUGGACAAUGGGCGCAAGCCUGAUCCAGCCAUGCCGCGUGAGUGAAGAAGGCCUUCGGGUUGUAAAGCUCUUUCAGACGGAAAGAAAUCGGGCGCGUGAAUAGCGUGCCUGGAUGACGGUACUGUCAGAAGAAGCACCGGCUAACUACGU